rnacentral:lncRNA from 1 species
GUUGAAUCAACUUAAAUCAUUGUUUUAUACAAUAUACAAUGUAUAUUCACUUUUACUACCAACUGAUAAAUUAAAACAAUCUUUACCAUUCAGUGAUAACAAGCACUUUUUUACAUUUUAAUAUUUUAUGAUGUAUUUAAAUGAGUAGUUAUUGUUGCAAACUCCAUUAGAAAUUUGAAUUGAGAUCAGUUUUGGAAAAAGGGAAAGGGGGAUGUGAAAAAAAAAUGGGGGGGGGGGUUAAAUUUUUCUCAUUUCAGAUUUCAUAAAUAAAAAGAAAAUUUCUUCAAACAUUUUUUUGAGAGGAUUAAUAUUCAACAGCAUAGUGAAUUGCUCAAAGGCAAAAAAAAAAUUUUAAGUUCAUUAGACCACAUUCAUUCUGUGUCAGAAACCUAUGCUGUGUCAACAAUCCAAAUUUA